rnacentral:rRNA from 1 species
AUUGAACGCUGGCGGCAGGCCUAACACAUGCAAGUCGAACGAGUGGCGGACGGGUGAGUAAUGUCUGGGAAACUGCCUGAUGGAGGGGGAUAACUACUGGAAACGGUAGCUAAUACCGUAUACUCUCAGAAGUGCCCAGAUGGGAUUAUCUAGUUGGUGGGGGAACGGCUCACCAAGGCGAAGAUCCCUAGCUGGUCUGAGAGGAGGACCAGCCACACUGGAACUGAGAAACGGUCCAGACUCCUACGGGAGGCAGCAGUGGGGAAUAUUGCACAAUGGGCGCAAGCCUGAUGCAGCCAUGCCGCGUGUAUGAAGAAGGCCUUAGGGUUGUAAAGUACUUUCAGCGGGGAGGCGUUACCGGCAGAAGAAGCACCGGCUAACUCCGUGCCAGCAGCCGCGGUAAUUC